AGAGAGAAAAUGGUACAGUUAUUCUCUUUUACAACUUUUCUCUUCUCUUGCAAAGGGAUUGAACUGGCAUUUCAUAUCUUCACCAUGUCAACUUCUUUCCAGUAUCAUGAUAUUCCGAAGUGUCCCAGAGUUGCAGAUUUACUCAUGGGUGGGCAAAGAAAUCUGAGAUAAAGUAGAGGCUUCAGAUACGAAACUGUUAGAGGCAUCAGGGAACCAGUCGGAGGCAGAGACCGAUAAUUUUGGUUGCUGUAUCUAUUUGACCCCGUGACCCCAUCUAAAUACAAUCCCUCAUUUUUAAGCAUCUGCAAAUUGAAUAAUAA